UGAAUUUGUGACAGAGCCGUACUACUCCUAAUUAAAGACAUGAAUCUUGCAGCUUCACCCAAGAUUGGGCUUAUAACAUUCCUCGUGAUAGCAUUAGUUGGUUAGUCUCUGAUCUCUUUUACCUCCCACUCCAUAUAUGUUCUUCUUUCCUUUUUCCAAAUUUAUAAACAUAUAUUUAAAUUGUUGAUCUCGGUUAAACUUUCUGUUUUUGAUUUUCCCCCCCUAUAAUCGUUCAUCCUUUGCAACUUAAUUACUUGAUUAAUCCAGAUUCACAUGUGAAAAGUCAGUAGUGCUCCCUACCAAACUCAUCACACAUAUGCUUUAUCUAUUUUUUUUUGUUUCAAACAUUUUCAAGAAGUGGUGAUCUUGGUUAAUGUCUUUUUAUUGUAUAUCAGUCUCGUUGUCUGAAAUUCAUUGCUCCAACUAAUUCGAAUUGGCAAAGAUAACAAUCAUGAGGUUGACAACUAUUUACAAAAAGAACUCUAUUUCUACGAACACCAAAACUCUGGUUAUGGGAGAAAGAACCUUAUCAUUCUACCAUAUUUCUUUGGUGGUGGUUAAAGUUAGUCACCGAAAGGACUCUAUUUUGGUUAGUCUAUCUUAUUCCUUUUAGUCUAUUCCAAAAGAUAACUUUCUUUUAAUUUAAAAAGAAUUAAAUUUAAAUUUUUUAUUUUACCAUAAUUAAAAAGUUUUAUAGCUACACAAAUAUUAUAGAUAUUUAGAACCAUAAGUUUUAAAAAUAUAAUAACCAUACAAAUGCUAUAAAUAUUCAAGAUCACACAUUUUAGAAGUUUUAUUAAACUGUCAGCCAAACAAAUUUACAUAAAUUAAAGCAUUAAUAAUCAUAUUUGACAUAGAAAUUGAAAAUGUAUGUCUCUUGGACUUUCUCGAAGAAAAGAUGGCUACCACUAUAUCAAAAAAAUAGAGACUAUUUAUUACUUUUAAUAUGAUAGAACUAUAGAAGUAGAUAUCCCUUUUCAAACAUACAGAGAAAGCAAGUAGGUGAUUAUGCGAUUGGGACUUGUUUCAGGAAGCAGAGUAGAGGCAGAUAAUUGGAUUUGCGACUGUGAAAUGCUGAAGCGAUGCUUGCCACUAUGUCCAGCAGGAGCUUACUGCACCCAUACAGGUGUCUGCACCUGUAUUCCACCACAUAUGAUCGCCUCUCUUAAGCUGUCAAAAUUACUCAGAAACCAAUAUGAUAUUUGUAUCGAUCAUUAUCCAUAGACAUGCAUGCAUGUACUGUUCCCUUAUUUUUACAAUCAACUUUUAUUUGAUUUUGAAGUCCUA
rnacentral:lncRNA from 1 species